rnacentral:piRNA from 1 species
UAGCUAACUGUGCCAGCCUGCAGGAU